UGGGAUUUUUAUUUUAUUUCUUUAGAAAGG
rnacentral:piRNA from 1 species